CAAGCGUUAAUCGGAAUUACUGGGCGUAAAGCGCACGCAGGCGGUUUGUUAAGUCAGAUGUGAAAUCCCCGGGCUCAACCUGGGAACUGCAUCUGAUACUGGCAAGCUUGAGUCUCGUAGAGGGGGGUAGAAUUCCAGGUGUAGCGGUGAAAUGCGUAGAGAUCUGGAGGAAUACCGGUGGCGAAGGCGGCCCCCUGGACGAAGACUGACGCUCAGGUGCGAAAGCGUGGGGAGCAAACAGGAUUAGAUACCCUGGUAGUCCACGCCGUAAACGAUGUCGACUUGGAGGUUGUGCCCUUGAGGCGUGGCUUCCGGAGCUAACGCGUUAAGUCGACCGCCUGGGGAGUACGGCCGCAAGGUUAAAACUCAAAUGAAUUGACGGGGGCCCGCACAAGCGGUGGAGCAUGUGGUUUAAUUCGAUGCAACGCGAAGA
rnacentral:rRNA from 1 species